ACAGAUAAUUUUUAUAACAAGUAAAUUUGAAGAUUUAUCAAUUCAGUAUGGAAUUCAUACGGAUAAUUCAUAUGUGAAAAAAACCUAGCAAUGCCAAAGGCUGACGUAUACAGUGGCGGAAAUCUAGGUGGGGCGGGGGGGGGGGCGGCCGCCCCCCCCCCCUCGUGGAAAAUGACGAAUUUUCGGAAAUUUUGACCUAUAAAAGGGCUAAAAACAGCCUUUUCGAGUGCAAAUAGGGGGGUUUGUUGGAAAUUUGAAAGUUUUGUCGGAAAUUUAGAAGGCUUUGCCCCCCCCCCCGGAAAAAGUGAAUUUACGCCACUGGACGUAUAGACGUUGGAAAUGUCAGGAAAAUUCGGUUUUCUCCAGAUAAAUUUCCGACGGAUUGCUUCGUACAACGCACCUUUCGUACAACCGGCCCCUGAUUUGAAAAGCAAAAAUUAAUCUAGUUCAAUAGUGUCCUUGUCAUGUCCCGGCUGUAUUGUGAUCCCCAUCCAUACCAGGUGAUCUUGAUACGCGGAAAAGUACUGGCACUAGUUGUCAAAUAGAAAUCCAUUUUAUGAUUAAAACAACUGAAUAUCUCCUG